UACGUAGGGGCCUAGCGUUGUCCGGAUUUAUUGGGCGUAAAGAGCGUGUAGGCGGUCCGGUCAGUCGGUUGUGAAAGUCAAGGGCUCAACCCUUGAAUGCCGGCCGAUACUGCCGGGCUAGAGUCCGGAAGAGGUGAGUGGAAUUCCUGGUGUAGCGGUGAAAUGCGCAGAUAUCAGGAGGAACACCGAUGGCGAAGGCAGCUCACUGGGACGGUACUGACGCUGAGACGCGAAAGCGUGGGGAGCAAACAGG
rnacentral:rRNA from 1 species